rnacentral:rRNA from 1 species
CGCCCUUAGAAGUUUGAUCCUGGCUCAGGACGAACGCUGGCGGCGUGGAUUAGGCAUGCAAGUCGCGCGACAGAUAGCUUUCGGGCUAUUAUGGAGCGGCGAACGGGUGAGUAACACGUGAACAAUCUGUCCCUACAUUCCGGAUAAUUGGCCGAAAGGCCUUGUAAUACGGGGGAGGGUCGCGUUGAGGCAUCUCAGUGCGAAGGAAGGCGCAAGCCGUGCAGGGAGGAGUUCGCGGAUUAUCAGCUUGUUGGUGGGGUAAUGGCCUACCAAGGCGACGACGAUUAGCUGGUCUGAGAGGAUGGUCAGCCACAUUGGAACUGAGACACUGUCCAGACUCCUACGGGAGGCUGCAGUCGAGAAUCUUGGGCAAUGCACGAAAGUGUGACCCAGCGACGCCGCGUGGAGGAUGAAGGACCUUGGUUCGUAAACUCCUUUUAUGGGAGAAGAACGCCGCUUUGCGGUUUGACGGUAUCCCAUGAAUAAGCCACGGCUAACUACGUGCCAGCAGCCGCGGUAAUACGUAGGUGGCAAGCGUUGUCCGGAUUUACUGGGCGUAAAGGGUGUGUAGGCGGAAUCUUAAGUAGGAAGUGAAAUAUUCGAGCUCAACUCGGAUGCUGCUUCCUAUACUGGGGUUCUUGAGUCCCGGAGAGGAAGAUGGAACGACACGUGUAGCGGUGAAAUGCGUUUGAUAUGUGUCGGAACACCAAUGGCGAAGGCAAUCUUC